GGGCACUCUAAGGUGACUGCGGCUAAAAGUCGGAGGAAGGUGGGGAUGACGUCAAAUCAUCAUGCCCUUAUGACCCUGGGCUACACACGUGCUACAAUGGGGCGGUACAAAGGGUCGCGAACCCGCGAGGGGGAGCCAAUCCCAAAAGACCGCUCUCAGUUCGGAUUGCAGGCUGCAACUCGCCUGCAUGAAGCCGGAAUCGCUAGUAAUCGCGGAUCAGCAUGCCGCGGUCGAAUACGUUCCCGGGCCUU
rnacentral:rRNA from 1 species